UGGAAGCGUCUGGAAAGGCGCGCGAUACAGGGUGACAGCCCCGUACACAAAAAUGCACAUGCUGUGAGCUCGAUGAGUAGGGCGGGACACGUGGUAUCCUGUCUGAAUAUGGGGGGACCAUCCUCCAAGGCUAAAUACUCCUGACUGACCGAUAGUGAACCAGUACCGUGAGGGAAAGGCGAAAAGAACCCCGGCGAGGGGAGUGAAAAAGAACCUGAAACCGUGUACGUACAAGCAGUGGGAGCACGCUUAGGCGUGUGACUGCGUACCUUUUGUAUAAUGGGUCAGCGACUUAUAUUCUGUAGCAAGGUUAACCGAAUAGGGGAGCCGAAGGGAAACCGAGUCUUAACUGGGCGUUAAGUUGCAGGGUAUAGACCCGAAACCCGGUGAUCUAGCCAUGGGCAGGUUGAAGGUUGGGUAACACUAACUGGAGGACCGAACCGACUAAUGUUGAAAAAUUAGCGGAUGACUUGUGGCUGGGGGUGAAAGGCCAAUCAAACCGGGAGAUAGCUGGUUCUCCCCGAAAGCUAUUUAGGUAGCGCCUCGUGAAUUCAUCUCCGGGGGUAGAGCACUGUUUCGGCAAGGGGGUCAUCCCGACUUACCAACCCGAUGCAAACUGCGAAUACCGGAGAAUGUUAUCACGGGAGACACACGGCGGGUGCUAACGUCCGUCGUGAAGAGGGAAACAACCCAGACCGCCAGCUAAGGUCCCAAAGUCAUGGUUAAGUGGGAAACGAUGUGGGAAGGCCCAGACAGCCAGGAUGUUGGCUUAGAAGCAGCCAUCAUUUAAAGAAAGCGUAAUAGCUCACUGGUCGAGUCGGCCUGCGCGGAAGAUGUAACGGGGCUAAACCAUGCACCGAAGCUGCGGCAGCGACGCUUAUGCGUUGUUGGGUAGGGGAGCGUUCUGUAAGCCUGUGAAGGUGUGCUGUGAGGCAUGCUGGAGGUAUCAGAAGUGCGAAUGCUGACAUAAGUAACGAUAAAGCGGGUGAAAAGCCCGCUCGCCGGAAGACCAAGGGUUCCUGUCCAACGUUAAUCGGGGCAGGGUGAGUCGACCCCUAAGGCGAGGCCGAAAGGCGUAGUCGAUGGGAAACAGGUUAAUAUUCCUGUACUUGGUGUUACUGCGAAGGG
rnacentral:rRNA from 1 species